UGGGGAAUAUUGGGCAAUGGGCGCAAGCCUGACCCAGCAACGCCGCGUGAGGGAAGAAGGUCUUCGGAUUGUAAACCUCUGUCCUUGGGGACGAAAAAAAUAACGGUACCCAAGGAGGAAGCUCCGGCUAACUACGUGCCAGCAGCCGCGGUAAUACGUAGGGAGCGAGCGUUGUCCGGAAUUACUGGGCGUAAAGGGUGCGUAGGCGGUUUGGCAAGUCAGAUGUGAAAUACCCGGGCUUAACUCGGGUGGGGCAUUUGAAACUGCUGAACUUGAGUGCAGGAGAGGAAAGUGGAAUUCCUAGUGUAGCGGUGAAAUGCGUAGAGAUUAGGAGGAACACCAGUGGCGAAGGCGGCUUUCUGGACUGUAACUGACGCUGAGGCACGAAAGCGUGGGGAGCAAACA
rnacentral:rRNA from 1 species